GAUGAACGCUAGCUACAGGCUUAACACAUGCAAGUCGAGGGGCAUCAUGACGAUAGCUUGCUAUUGUUGAUGGCGACCGGCGCAAGGGUGCGUAACGCGUGAGCAAUCUGCCCGUGUCAGGGGGAUAAGCGAUGGAAACGUCGUCUAAUACCGCAUAACGUAGCAGUACCGCAUGAUACAGUUACCAAAGAUUUUAUCGCUGAAAGAUGGGCUCGCGUCCGAUUAGGUAGUUGGUGAGGUAACGGCCCACCAAGCCGACGAUCGGUAGCCGGACUGAGAGGUUGAUCGGCCACAUUGGGACUGAGACACGGCCCAGACUCCUACGGGAGGCAGCAGUGGGGAAUAUUGCACAAUGGGCGCAAGCCUGAUGCAGCAACGCCGCGUGAGGGAAGACACUUUUCGGAUUGUAGACCUCUGUCUUUGGUGACGAAGAAGUGACGGUAGCCAAGGAGGAAGCCACGGCUAACUACGUGCCAGCAGCCGCGGUAAUACGUAGGUGGCAAGCGUUAUCCGGAAUUACUGGGUGUAAAGGGAGCGCAGGCGGGUCAGCAAGUCAGCGGUGAAAUUUAUGGGCUCAACCCAUAACCUGCCGUUGAAACUGUUGAUCUUGAGUGGAGUAGAGGUAGGCGGAAUUCCGAGUGUAGCGGUGAAAUGCGUAGAUAUUCGGAGGAACACCAGUGGCGAAGGCGGCCUACUGGGCUCUAACUGACGCUGAGGCUCGAAAGUGUGGGGAGCAAACA
rnacentral:rRNA from 1 species